ACUUUACAAUGCGGGAAACCGUGAUAAGGGGACACCGAGUGCCAGCAUCAUAUGCUGGCUGUCCGGGUGUGUAAAAUACACCUGUUAGCAAGGGCCGGGCAAGACCGGUGCCAGCCGCCGCGGUAACACCGGCGGCCCGAGUGGUGAUCGUGAUUAUUGGGUCUAAAGGGUCCGUAGCCGGUUUGGUCAGUCCUCCGGGAAAUCUGAUGGCUCAACCAUUAGGCUUUCGGGGGAUACUGCCAGGCUUGGAACCGGGAGAGGUAAGAGGUACUACAGGGGUAGGAGUGAAAUCUUGUAAUCCCUGUGGGACCACCUGUGGCGAAGGCGUCUUACCAGAACGGGUUCGACGGUGAGGGACGAAAGCUGGGGGCAUGAACCGGAUUAGAUACCCGGGUAGUCCCAGCCGUAAACGAUGCUCGCUAGGUGUCAGACAUGGCGCGACCGUGUCAGGUGCCGCAGGGAAGCCGUGAAGCGAGCCACCUGGGAAGUACGGCCGCAAGGCUGAAACUUAA
rnacentral:rRNA from 1 species